UCGAUUUAACAGAAUGGUCAAUGAAAAAUGCGUUGAACGCAAUUCUUAAAGAGUUGGAGUUUCGAGAAGCUCACACACCGAUCGGCGAGAAAACCAAGAGACAGGAUGGGGAGAAACAACGAGAAACGUCGCGACAAAAACAUAUGGGGUCAGCAUCGACACUGCACGCGAAGCAUGAGAGUUGCAACGAGGUGUCAAUAAACGGUAAAGCGAAAAGAAAAUGCGUUUAUUGUCUCGGGGAACACAAUCCAGAGGAAUGUAAGAAAAUAACCAAGAAUGUGGAAUCUUUGUUCAUGGUUUUUGAUAUAAGAAUUCGAUGAAAAAUUUUUUACUAGCGUUGAUUUAUCUCAGGAAAUAACUUUAAGAAAUUAUUGCAUGUGUCAUGUUUUUCAUGCAUUCUUUUGCUGAGGUAUUAUGGUGGGCCCUAAGGGUGUCAUCUGCGACGCUCAGUGUGUACUCUCUCAUCCCCACCCACCCCCAACGUUCCCCCUCUCUUUGUGACGUCCUGCCAUUUGCCUCAAAUAUUUCAUUUACAUCAUUUCCGUUGCCCAUAUUGGUAAAUUUCCUUCAUUUGUCUUCUUUUGUGAAGUGCUUUAAUAAUACUGUCGUGUAUCGUGGAUAUUUUUUACAUGUAGAAAACACUUUGUAUUUUCUCCUAACUUUCUUGAUGCUAGCAUAGGUGGUGAGAGUUGAUAUGUGGUGAUAUCAAGCGAUCAUAAGUUCAGUGGAGAUUAUGUUGAAUUUUGCAAGUGUAGAUAUUACAAAGCAAGCAAUUAUUGAUCGCUUGUUGGAUGGAGUAAAGCAAUGUCAGGUACGAUUUGGUAGUACAACCGAAUUGGCUUCUGAGAAGGAUAGCAGAAUCUCUUGUCUUUGUGAGCAAUGGAACAUUGUUCUUCAAUUUGGCAUUAAAUCCACAAAA